UGAAAAUAUAAAUUAUUUAAAACUUUCAACAACGGAUCUCUUGGUUCCGGCAUCGAUGAAGAACGCAGCGAAAUGCGAUACGUAAUGUGAAUUGCAAAUUCAGUGAAUCAUCGAGUCUUUGAACGCACAUUGCGCCCCCUGGUAUUCCGGGGGGCA
rnacentral:rRNA from 4 species